rnacentral:rRNA from 1 species
AGCGAACGCUGGCGGUAGGCCUAACACAUGCAAGUCGAACGGCAGAACAGUAAGAGCUUGCUAUUAUGGGUGGCGAGUGACGGACGGGUGAGGCAUAGAUCGGAAUCUAUUUUUUCGUGGGGGACAACGUAGGGAAACUUACGCUAAUACCGCACACGACCUACGGGUGAAAGCAGGGGAUCUUCGGACCUUUCGCUCUUUCAUAAGUCGAUGCCCGAUUAGUUAGGUGGCGGGGGAAAGGACCACUCAGCCGAUGAUACAGACCUGGGCUGCGUGGGUGAUGGGCCACAUUGGGACUGAGACACGGCACAAACUCCUAAGGGAGGCAGGAGUAGGGAAACAUCGGCAAUGGAGGAAAGUCUGACCGAGCAACGCCGCGGGAGGGAAGAAGGUUCUCGGAUCGUAAAACUCUGUUGGUAGAGAAGAAAGUGGGUGAGAGUGGAAAGCUCAUGAAGUGACGGUAACGAACCAGAAAGGGACGGCUAACUACGUG